rfam:Brachypodium distachyon strain Bd21 chromosome 1, whole genome shotgun sequence.
AACAUACUCCUUCCGUCCAACAAAAGAUGUCUCAAGUUUGUCAAAAUUUGGAUGUAUCUAGACAUGACUUAGUAUAUAGAUGCAUUCAAAUUUAGUCAAAGUUGAGACAUCAUUUGUUGGAUGGAGAGAGUAAUAG